rnacentral:rRNA from 1 species
GACGAACGCUGGCGGCGUGCUUAACACAUGCCAGUCGAACGGAAAGGCCCUGCUUUUGUGGGGUGCUCGAGUGGCGAACGGGUGAGUAACACGUGAGUAACCUGCCCUUGACUUUGGGAUAACUUCAGGAAACUGGGGCUAAUACCGGAUAGGAGCUCCUGCUGCAUGGUGGGGGUUGGAAAGUUUCGGCGGUUGGGGAUGGACUCGCGGCUUAUCAGCUUGUUGGUGGGGUAGUGGCUUACGAAGGCUUUGACGGGUAGCCGGCCUGAGAGGGUGACCGGGCACAUUGGGACUGAGAUACGGCCCAGACUCCUACGGGAGGCAGCAGUGGGGAAUAUUGCACAAUGGGCGGAAGCCUGAUGCAGCAACGCCGCGUGCGGGAUGACGGCCUUCGGGUUGUAAACCGCUUUCGCCUGUGACGAAGCGUGAGUGACGGUAAUGGGUAAAGAAGCACCGGCUAACUACGUG